CCGCCCUUUUCUGCUGCAGGAUGCUCUGCGGGGCUCCGGGGACCAGGGGCUUCGUUUAUUCCAGCAGAAGACAGCCAGGGAAGACUGAGGCCAGAGGGCGGGGGCGAAGAGAGGCUAACUUUAUCCGCUAGGAAACGCAGCUCCGGGGUCCUUGAUCACCCUUCCCUGUCUCCGACCUUCCCCACGAUCCGGGGAGCGCGCCAACCCCUUUCCGCACCCAGGGAUGCUGGCAAACGCCGCUCCAUCCAACCUACAGGUGGCAGAGGCCCGCUGGGUACCACUCUCCAUCCCUGGUGGGAGAAGCGGACGCCGCCCGCUGCCCCCCCCCGUCCUACGCGGCCGUCAAGCCAAGCCAAGCCAGGCCAGGCCAGGCCAGGCCAGCUCCGGACCCGAGCGGCGCGCCCGGCUUCGGUCGUGAGAACGCUCUCCUCCUCCCUCCGCUCCUCCGCGCUGCGGCCAAAGCGGGCGCCGCGCCGAGCAGUCGGCCGGCCGACCAAUGGUAGCCGCGGAAGGCGGAGCCCGAGAGCCAGCAAAUAAUCGCUCGAUGCAUUGCGAGCCCAGCCGGUCCACCGGGCAGCGAAGCGCUCUGACUGCAGCGGGCGAGGCGAGCGGGAGUCGCGGCCCCCGCAGCUGGGCAGGGUUGCGGGACCCCCGUCUCUGGGGCCGGUGGCGCUCCCUGCCCGAAGGGGGAUGCCCUUUGGCGCCGAGGACGCGCCCGGCUCCGUGUUGCUUCUGCAGAUGAAGCCAUCGGAGAUCGAUCAAGAAUUAUUCACAGAAAGUUAUUGCAGAGUAUGCAGUGCUCAGCUAAUAUCGGAAUCACAGCGUGUGGCUCAUUAUGAGAGUCGGAAACAUGCAAGCAAAGUUCGGCUUUACUACAUGCUCCACCCAAUUGAUGGAGGAUGUCCUGCGAAGAAGCUUCGGUCAGAAAAUGGAAGCGAUGAUGAUUCCGUGGAUAAGAACAAGUGCUGCACGCUCUGCAAUAUGUCAUUUACCUCGGCGGUGGUGGCUGAGUCACAUUAUCAAGGGAAAAUCCAUGCCAAAAGAUUAAAACUCUUGCUAGGAGUGCAGCCGACAUUAAAAGCUACUGAAACAAACCUGAGUUCUCUUAAGGAGCCACAUGUGGAGAGCUCUCCAGCAGUGUCUCCACCCCAUCAGAGAAGAGAUUCUGACAGGUAUUGCCAGCUCUGUGCAGCUUGGUUUAACAACCCAAUGAUGGCACAGCAACACUAUGAUGGAAAAAAGCACAAAAAGAAUGCAGCCAGGGCUGAUCUACUAGAGCAGCUAGGAAAGACAUUGGACCUAGGCGAGAUCUCUGAGGAACUUUCCAUGCCUGUCUGUGCUUUGUGGUCUGAAACGGACAUACACUUGCAACAUCUGUAACGUCACUCUAAACUCAAUAGAACAGUAUCAUGCACACUUGAAGGGCUCGAAACAUCAGAACAACCUGAAGAAUCAGUAGACAAUCAUCCAAGAAUGAAGUUCAACCUCUAAUACUUCUUCAAAAACCAGCCCUUACACAGGGACAGAUGCUUUCUUGGACAAUGAGCACUUCCUAUGUGACAUCAUUCAUGUUUAGCUAAUCUUUGCUUUGAGCAAUGAAUGGAUUUUACUUUUUGUUUUUAUUUUGUGGUGAGUAAGAAGAUUCAGACAGAUUUUUUUAUACCCUUUGGAGAUAGAGUCUAUAUAUUCAACAUAAAACCAAGAGUAUGUUUUAAAUUGUAAGAUAUAUCAUCCAUCUUCGGAGGCCAAUGGAAUAAAAUAUUUUUUUCUUUUUUCAUAUUUAUUCUCAGAUUUCUUCAGAGAGUAUAAGAUCCUAUUAAAUUAUCUAUAAUUGUGAUGUAAGUAACAAGUCUUCAAAAAAAAUAAACUUGAUAUCUUCACCCUA